GCAGGGAGCAGUAUAACUAACUGUCCGGGGCAAACGUAAGUGCAAGGAGCAGCAGCUCCAGGCUGGGAGUUCCCCGCUCCCGGCUCCCGCCUUGUCCCGGCGGGCAUGGGAAUGCCACCCAAUAGGAAGCGGCAUUUGUAGUCGCGUUGGACGGCUUGUCCAAUAGGAAUGAAGCAUUCCUAUCCGCGCCGCACUGGAGCAGCAGAGCAGUGCGGGGGCUUUCUCGUCUCGCCCGUGCCCGCGUGCCCCGCUCCCGCCCUGGGCCGGCGGGGGCCUGCCGCCGCCCGUGCUCAGCUCGGGCAACGAGAAACGCUGCUUUCCCUGUUGCCUCUUAAAUCAUUUAUUCUCUCUUUGCCGCAAAUCAGGGUCGCUUCUUGCCCCUCGCGCUCCAGUUGUCCAAGGCAACCGAAUCACCAGUACGAAUCAACGGGCAUCUCCGGAAGAAAUGGCUGCACCAUUAACAACGGCUAGGAGUGCCGGUGUCCCUGGUGUAUGGAUCUGUCAAGCACUAGAUAAAAUAACAACCUCCCGGCUAGGAAAAGAUACGGAGAUCGCUUCUCUGCACCUUGAAAAAAAAAAGCCCUUCAAAGCAUUCAUUAUUUUCCGUAUUUGCCCUCAGGUUACAACAGAGACAAGCCAAGGAUUUCGCUAUGAGACUUCAAGCCUCUGACUGAUAUUAAUAAUGGAGGCAGGGAAAUAUUCGCUGGUAUCAUCGGUCUCCAAACGAGCCCAUGACAAGGCGCAGGAUGAAAACCCCGGCUCUGCAACUCGGGAGAGCUGCACAGUUCGUGACUGGUCAAGGAAAGGAUCUGCUCGAGCAACUACAUGGCUCAAGCUCCACUGAGUGCCAUAGCAGCAGGAGCUGCAGCGCUCAGGACGGUCCUGCUUUUAACUAAUUCACAGCUGAGAAAGGGACCAAUACACGCAUGGGGUUUGGGGGCGGUUCGGAGGAAAAAGAAAAGCAGCUCGCCAACGCAGAAAGGAGUCUUACUCUUCGGAGGUGUGGAAGAGGUUAAACCCAAGUGUUUCUUUGAAAUUUAUAAAGGUAAUGCAGGGGGGGGGGUUAGGAAUGACCUGCUUAAAGGUAGCUGAAAAAGUAUCCUCCCCCCAUUUAGGCAUACAUCCGCACCUAGCUCCAGAAAUAUCUUAAGACUGCUGGUAGUUUCCUGCUGCCCAGCAGGCUAGUGAAGGACCCUGGGCUUAAAGAAGAAAACUCGAGAUCGGAGGGAUCUGUCCGGUUGCACUGAAGCCAGACUCAUCAGUCAUCAAUCAAACUCUACAUUUCUCCCAGAUGUAAACGGGUGAAUAAACUAAAGUACUACGAUG